UAAUACGUAGGGGGCAAGCGUUGUCCGGAAUCAUUGGGCGUAAAGCGCGUGUAGGCGGCUUGAUAAGUCCGGUGUGAAACCUUGGGGCUCAACCCCAAGCCUGCAUCGGAUACUGUCUCGCUCGAGUUCGGGAGGGGAAAGCGGAAUUCCUAGUGUAGCGGUGAAAUGCGCAGAUAUUAGGAAGAACACCAAUGGCGAAGGCAGCUUUCUGGAACGAUACUGACGCUGAGACGCGAAAGCGUGGGGAGCGAACAGGAUUAGAUACCCUGGUAGUCCACGCCGUAAACGAUGGGCACUAGAUGUGGGCGGUGUCGACUCCGCCCGUGUCGCAGCUAACGCACUAAGUGCCCCGCCUGGGGAGUACGGCCGCAAGGCUAAAACUCAAAGGAAUUGACGG
rnacentral:rRNA from 1 species